rnacentral:rRNA from 1 species
CCUACGGGGAGCUGCAGUCGAGAAUCAUUCACAAUGGGGGAAACCCUGAUGGUGCGACGCCGCGUGGGGGAAUGAAGGUCUUCGGAUUGUAAACCCCUGUCAUGUGGGAGCAAAUUAAAAAGAUAGUACCACACGAGGAAGAGACGGCUAACUCUGUGCCAGCAGCCGCGGUAAUACAGAGGUCUCAAGCGUUGUUCGGAAUCACUGGGCGUAAAGCGUGCGUAGGCUGUUUCGUAAGUCGUGUGUGAAAGGCGCGGGCUCAACCCGCGGACGGCACAUGAUACUGCGAGACUAGAGUAAUGGAGGGGGAACCGGAAUUCUCGGUGUAGCAGUGAAAUGCGUAGAUAUCGAGAGGAACACUCGUGGCGAAGGCGGGUUCCUGGACAUUAACUGACGCUGAGGCACGAAGGCCAGGGGAGCGAAAGGGAUUAGAUACCCGAGUAGUC